rnacentral:lncRNA from 1 species
CAGUUACUUGCUAGAUUCAAAAAUAAAACCAUUUCUCUUUUCCAUCUUCUCCAACCAGCAAGAGGCUCUUAAAAGAAGAAAAGCCUCAGUUCUGGGUGCCAGAAAUCUGAAAUAAAUUUUUGUUGCUGACAUCAAGGUAUCUGCAGAACUGGUUUCUUCUGGAGGCUCCAGCUUCAAGAAUCACACUCUCAAGCAGAAGGCGAUCUAAGAGAAAGCAAGAGGCACACUACUCCAGGUUGGUAAGUAGUCAAAAAUUUAUUCAGGGGAAACUUACAUAUGAGGCAGUCUUGGGUGCAGCAA